AACGAACGCUGGCGGCAUGCCUAACACAUGCAAGUCGAACGAGACCUUCGGGUCUAGUGGCGCACGAGUGCGUAACGCGUGGGAACCUGCCCUUAGGUUCGGAAUAACUCCCCGAAAGGGGUGCUAAUACCGGAUAAUGUCUUCGGACCAAAGAUUUAUCGCCUUUGGAUGGGCCCGCGUUGGAUUAGCUAGUUGGUAGGGUAAACGCCUACCAAGGCGACGAUCCAUAGCUGGUCUGAGAGGAUGAUCAGCCACACUGGGACUGAGACACGGCCCAGACUCCUACGGGAGGCAGCAGUGGGGAAUAUUGGACAAUGGGCGAAAGCCUGAUCCAGCAAUGCCGCGUGAGUGAUGAAGGCCUUAGGGUUGUAAAGCUCUUUUACCCGGGAUGAUAAUGACGGUACCGGGAGAAUAAGCUCCGGCUAACUCCGUG
rnacentral:rRNA from 1 species